CGUGAGUAACCUGCCUUCAAGAGGGGGAUAACAUUCUGAAAAGAAUGCUAAUACCGCAUGACAUAUCGGAAUCACAUGGUUUUGAUAUCAAAGAUUUUAUCGCUUGAAGAUGGACUCGCGUCCGAUUAGUUAGUUGGUGAGGUAACGGCUCACCAAGACCGCGAUCGGUAGCCGGACUGAGAGGUUGAACGGCCACAUUGGGACUGAGACACGGCCCAGACUCCUACGGGAGGCAGCAUG
rnacentral:rRNA from 1 species